CCCACCCUUACGACCUCAUCUGACCUUAACCACCUCCCUAAAGCCCCGUCUCCAAAUUCAGCCACAAUGGGUUAGCACUUCAGUGUAUGAGUUUUGGGAGGACACAACCCAGGCCUCGUGGACUUGCCAUGUGUUCUGUGAGAUGAGGUUCCUCGUGGGUGACCGGCCCCGGAGAGGCAGCUGUUCAGCCCGUCCUCGGGGGUUGGCCACUGCCCCCCAGUGCCUCCCAUGCAGGCCUGGGGCCACCGGUGAGGCAAAGCCACACCGUGUGCAAAGGCUUCCUCCUCAAUAAACCUCUUGCACCAGAAUCCCUUCUUCAAGCUCUGCAUCUGGAGAACAGGAGAGCCCAAAUGACGGAAAACCCACGGGGCUUUAACCAGCCCACUGCCAACCUCCCACGUGGACCGGCCCUCAGGAUACAGAGUCUGAUGUGAGAAGCAGCCAGGCUGUGUCAUUAGAAAAGAAUGACUUCACAAGUUGGAAACAAUGUACACGUCCAUCACCUGGUGAACGGACAACACGGAUGACCCUUGGAAACACCGCUGAGUGAAAGAAGCCCCUCCCAGGAGACCUCGUGCUGUGUGAUUCCCUUCAUGCAAAACAUCCGGAAAGGUGAACCCAUAGAGACAGCACAGCGAUUAACCGCUGCUUGGGAGGUGGCAGGGGUGGGGUUCGAGGGGAACCAGCCGCAAGCGGGCGUGAGAUGUUCACGGAGCGGCGGGAGUGGCACAACGUGGUAAACUUACUAAAGCAUCAUCAAAUUGUAUCCUUGAAACUGGUGAAUUAUGUAAUAUGGAAAAUUUACCCCAGUGAAGUUGUUUACAGCCUCUCCGAUGGAGGCAGGACUUUCUGGACGUGAGUCUGUGGACGAGACCACCAACAUUCCCAUUUUUAAAAUUUUCCUCGGUGAGAGUCAGGUAAAAUCCUUAGCAUCAAAUAUCUGGUUUGCAAAAGCAUUAUGAGGUUUGGGGGAUUAAUCAGGCAAAAUAAAAGGUGCUUGUUUUUUGUUGCU